AAAAAAAAAAAAAAAAAAAAAAAAAAAAAAAAAAAAAAAGAAUUCCAAACCAGUCUAACCCAUUAUUUCUAAUCGAAGGAAGCUUUCUAUAGACGAUUUUUCCUCCGAAUAUUUUUAGUUUCGCAUUUCCAAAUAAUUAUGACGCAACGUUUAAAAUCGGGUGCGGAAACGAUCACAUUUCCGCAUCACCCGGAAUUUUUUUUUUUACAAAAUGACCGUAUUAAGAUAAUUCUACCAAACGCUAAAAUGUCUCCAGAGACAAAAUAUGUGGAUGUUAAUAAAUUAUUUCCGAUGGAUAAAAUCAAAGAAGCUCGAAUGGACACACACACACACACACACAUCUAGACUGGAAAUACUGCAAUAUCGACUGAAGCAUUCUUCUAAUUGAAAAAAUAUAUAUAUGAAAAAGACAUUUUUAUAUGGGGCACCAGAAAAAUCCUUAAAAUUUGCCAUAAACAUGGGAGCACUCCCAUUAAAUUAAAAUCUGUAGCAGAAAGGAACGGUAAAGGGAUUUCGGAUGUAAAAUAAGCACCCGGAUCAAACAGAAUGCGAGUACUCGAGCUUAAAUAUAAUGAUAAAAAAGUUAGCCAACACUACAUUAAAUGGAUGGCUGCUAGUCUCGGGGGAAUGGAGGUCUAUUAAUGUGUAAGAGAUGUCCACGUCGAUAGGGAUGGUAGAUGGCUGGGGGUAGUAGUUCCGACAUACGUUAGUUUUAUUCCUGAAUGGCCUCUGAUGAUUACUCCCGAUAUAUAUACAUUUUUUUUUUUUUUGGAAAGAGAAACUGGGUUCGUCCUUUCUUGGACGGCGUAUCGAUCCGACUCAAUUAAUUAAAUGGAUAGAAGUUCAAAUUGAAUCGGCGCUGACAUAAAAUAUCUAACUCGGUAGAAAUUAAUUUGAAAAUACAAACCCCAAAGAUCAUAUUUA
rnacentral:lncRNA from 1 species